AGUCACUGACAUUAGAUACCCCUGUAGUCCAGGGUGUAAACGCUGCAGACUUGGUGUUGGAGGCCCUUUGGGGGCAUUCAGUGCCGGAGAGAAGUUGUUAAGUCUGCUACUUGGGAGUACGUCCGCAAGGAUGAAACUUAAAGGAAUUGGCGGGGGAGCACCGCAACGGGAGGAGCGUGCGGUUUAAUUGGAUUCAACACCGUAAAACUCACCAGGGAAGACUGUUACAUGAAGGCCGAGAUGAAGACUCUGCUAGAUUUUCAG
rnacentral:rRNA from 1 species